rnacentral:miRNA from 1 species
CUCUCACCAGAAGUGUGUGUGUGUGUGUGUGUGUGUGUGUGUGUACACACACACACACACACACACACACACACACACACACAAACAGAGUGAGGG